rnacentral:rRNA from 1 species
GAAUGCGAUCAUAUUAGUACGUAUGCAGUAGAUCCCAUCAAAACUCCAAAGUUAAGCGUGCUUGGCAAGAAUGGUACUAAAAGCGAGCUUUGUCGCAGGAC